CAUUGAAAUUGUAAAUCUCAUCAUCUCUCCUGUUUCCUAUUACCAAACCCACCACCACCUCUCUCUCUCUCUCUCUCUCUCUCAUUCUCUUUCACUUUCUCUCUCUAACCCAAACCCUAACAAAGACUUUUGGUCUUCUUCUUCUUCUUCUUCACAAUCCGAUGCUCUGAUCCCCUCAAAUCUCACACCGUGGAUCCGAUUCGCUAGAUUAAUGCCUUUUGGAAUUACAAGAGCAUAUUAAAUGGAUGAUGAUUGUACAGAUGGAUAAAAUGUCUGCCCCUCCAUCAAGGGAGCGUGCCCAACGUCUUUAUGAGAAGAAUAUUGAAUUGGAGAAUAAGCGUCGGAGGUCUGCCCAGGCACGAAUCCCAUCAGAUCCCAAUGCAUGGCAACAGAUUCGUGAGAAUUAUGAGUCAAUAAUUCUCGAGGAUCAUGGUUUCUCUGAGCAGCACAACAUUGAAUAUGCUCUAUGGCAGCUACAUUACAAGCGAAUUGAGGAACUGAGAGGACACUUUAGUUCUGCUCUAGCUUCUGCAGGCUCAAACACAUCUCAGGGUGUGAAAGGCCCUGCACGGCCAGACCGAAUUACAAAAAUAAGAUUGCAGUUUAAAACCUUUCUUUCAGAAGCAACUGGGUUUUACCAUGAACUCAUUUUGAAAAUCAGAGACAAGUAUGGGCUUCCUCUGGGUUAUUUCUCUGAGGAGUCAGAGAAUCGAAUUGUUAUGGAGAAAGAUGGGAAGAAAUCUGCUGAAAUGAAGAAAGGUCUGAUAUCUUGUCAUCGUUGUCUGAUAUACUUGGGUGACCUUGCACGUUACAAAGGAUUAUAUGGGGAGGGUGACUCCAAAAGUAGGGAGUUUGCAGCAGCUUCAAGUUAUUACUUGCAAGCUGCAUCUCUUUGGCCAUCAAGUGGAAAUCCCCAUCAUCAGCUUGCUAUAUUGGCUUCCUAUUCGGGGGAUGAGCUGGCGGCUGUUUAUCGAUAUUUCCGGAGUUUGGCAGUGGAUAGUCCAUUUUCAACUGCAAGGGAUAACUUGAUUGUUGCAUUUGAGAAGAAUCGUCAGACUUACUCUCAACUACCUGAGGAUGUUAAAGCUUCUGUCGUUAAGGGGUCACCUGUGCGGGUGACUGGCAAAGGAAGAGGGAAAGGGGAUGCAAAACUUGCAUCAAAAGAUAUCAACUCAGAAAGUAGCCAGGUUAAGGAGAGAGCAUCUGCUGUGCCUGAGACGUAUAAAUCCUUUUGCAUCCGAUUUGUUCGUCUAAAUGGCAUUCUUUUCACACGUACAAGCCUGGAGACAUUUGCGGAAGUUCUUUCUUUGGUUAGCAGUGGUUUAUGUGAGCUUCUGUCUUCUGGGCCCGAAGAAGAUCUGAAUUUUGGUGUGGAUGCUCGUGAGAAUGGACUUCUCAUUGUUAGACUUAUUGCCAUCCUUGUAUUUACAGUUCACAAUGUAAGAAAAGAGGCUGAAGGUCAGACUUACGCGGAAAUUGUACAGCGUGCUGUUCUACUCCAAAAUGCAUUUACUGCAGUUUUUGAGCUGAUGGGACGCAUAUUGGAGAGAUGUGUGCAGCUACGUGAACCUUCUUCAAGUUGCCUCUUACCUGGCAUUCUGGUGUUUGUAGAAUGGUUGGCGUGUUGCCCGGAUAUUGCAGCAGGCAGUGAUGCAGAUGAAAAACAGGCAACGAUUAGAUCAAAAUUUUGGAACCAUUGCAUUUCUUUCUUAAACAAGCUCUUGUCCAAUGGGCCAAUGUCCAUAGAUGAUGAUGAAGAUGAGAGUUGCUUUAAUAACAUGAGCAGGUAUGAAGAAGAUGAAACAGAAAACAGGCUUGCUUUGUGGGAGGACCUUGAGUUAAGAGGUUUCUUGCCACUAAUUCCAGCUCAAACCAUUUUGGAUUUUUCAAGGAAGCAUUCCUUUGGAGGAGAUGGUAACAAGGAAAAAAUGGCUCGUAUUAAAAGGAUUCUAGCUGCAGGGAAGGCUCUAGCAAAUGUGGUUAAGGUUGAUCAAGAAACAAUACAUUUUGAUUCGAAAGUGAAGAAAUUUGUUAUUGGUGUUGAGCCUCAAGUCUUGGAUGAUUUUAUGCUUCCAACCACUUAUUCAGGCAUCCCUAAUACAAACAGUAUCAUGAUUGAAAAACAAACGGAGACAUCAAAGAAUUUGGGUGUCCUGCAGCCAAAUCCUGAGCUACUUAUGGAAGAGGAAGAGGAGGAUGAAGUUAUUGUUUUUAAACCAACAGUGGCUGAGAGGCGGACUGAUGUGGUUGGUUUAAAAUGGGAUCAGUAUGGGGGCCUGGAGCCUGGUCAAAAUGCUUCUGUGGGUGAUCUAAAUUUUCUUGGUAAUUCUGUUUCAGCUCCUCUAGGUAAUCUUCAGCAGCAGAUUGCUCUUGAUGUGGGUUCACAAGUGCCUACAUCCUUUGGUAAUAUGGUCCCCCAGCAUUUUCAAUCAGCUCAGUCUCAUGCUUUGAAGUGGCCACUGGAAGGCGAAGCUCUUCUUGCUAAUGGUUUCAAAGGUCUAAGCUUUGUGGAGAAUGGCCAUAUAAUGAAAUCCGAGCAACAAGAUUUUGGCAUGUCCACUCCUGCUGCGUUUUCGGCUUCCAUCCAGCAAGCUAUCGGUCCUAAUACUUCUGGUAUGUCUUACAGUCUUGCAAAAGUCCCAGAAACUGUGAUACCAUCUAAGAUUGAUGCUUUUGCAUCUUCUGGAGCCAUGUCUGACAAUUUGUCUGUAAAGACAUCAUCAGCAUUGCCAGUAGGUUUGAGAAAAAGUCCAGUUAGUCGGCCUGUUAGACACAUUGGGCCUCCACCUGGUUUCAGCCCUGUUCCUUCUAAACAAGUGAAUGAACCCAUUUCUGGUUCAGAUUUGGUGAAUGAGAGUCCAUUGAUGGAUGAUUAUAGCUGGUUGGAUGGAUAUCAGUUGCCAGCAUCAGCUAAAGGCUCUAUGUCAAAUAGUUCGGUCAAUUACCCAUCUUAUUCAAACCCCCAGCCCAUCAGUAUCAGCAAUGGCAUGAAUGGGACUGUCAGUUUUCCAUUUCCUGGAAAACAAGUUCCAGCCAUGCCAUUCUCAGUAGAAAAUCAAAAAGGCUGGCAAGAAUACCAGAUGCUUGAGCAGCUAAAUCUACACCAUGAACAGCAGUUGCAGUUGCAGCAGCAGCAGCAUCAACUUGUUAAUGGAAAUCAGCACUUUACUCCACUGCCUGAACAAUAUAAAGGACAGUCUGUUUGGACAGGUCGUUACUUCGUGUGAUGUCGGUACGAGAGUAUAGGUGGUCCUCAAGAAUGAUUCUGGUGAAUGUACUGCAUCCUUUUGCUACCAAAUUUGAACUCCAACUUUGCAGCCUUGUCAAUGUUGAAUUUUUGUUGGAGCUUGGGUGGCAUUGGCUUUGUUGCAGGCACUUGCCAUUACACAAAUUUCGUCAAGCUCUCCAGCCCGGAGGAAGAGAAAUAUGGAAACAUCUAAUAUGAUGCGAAGUUCAUAUGAAGUAAAUGCCUUGUCUGGUUACUUGGGAUGAAUAGAACGUGUUAAUAAGAUCUUCUGUUGGCGUUGGGACUUAUGUCUCAGUCGUCUAACUGGUGGAAUAAAGAUGUGCUCCUCAUUAUACUUAACUGUUAUGACAGUCUAGCUGUCAAAAAUCACUGUAACGGUCUUUCAGCUAGCUGCUGAUAAUAAAUAAUGCUACUCCGAUUUCUUCACUUGUGAAGCUUUGGAGAGCUCCAGUGGUUGCUGGUUAUGAUCUUUGUUUUGGUAUCAGCAAGUUGGAUAGUGCGAUCUGGUAAUGACGACAAGAAGAGUCAUUUGGGUGAGUGCCGGUGUGAUGUCUAUGGUCGUUGUUUAAAGAUCUUUUAUGUUAUAUUUAUCUUCUACUGGGUUUGAGUAUAUGAUAGGGUCAUAAUUCAAUAACACUUUGGUGUUGAAGUCGGGAUUGUCUCGAACUUUUUUUUAUUAUGAAAAUAAUCUGUGGAAUAUACCUCCCAUGUUAAAGUGAUUAUAUCUCAUGGUAUAUUGGCUUUU